rnacentral:rRNA from 1 species
UACGUAGGGUCCGAGCGUUGUUCGGAUUCAUUGGGCGUAAAGGGUGCGUAGGUGGCGCUGUAAGUGGGGUGUGAAAUCCCGGGGCUUAACCCCGGGACUGCAUUCCAUACUGCAGUGCUUGAGGACUGGAGAGGAGACUGGAAUUUAACGGUGUAGCAGUGAAAUGCGUAGAGAUCGUAAGGAAGACCAGGUGGCGAAGGCGGGUCCUCUGG